GACGAACGCUGGCGGCGUGCCUAAUACAUGCAAGUAGAACGCUGAAGGAGGAGCUUGCUUCUCCGGAUGAGUUGCGAACGGGUGAGUAACGCGUAGGUAACCUGCCUGGUAGCGGGGGAUAACUAUUGGAAACGAUAGCUAAUACCGCAUAACAGUAGAUGUUGCAUGACAUUUGCUUAAAAGGUGCAAUUGCAUCACUACCAGAUGGACCUGCGUUGUAUUAGUUAGUUGGUGAGGUAACGGCUCACCAAGGCGACGAUACAUAGUCGACCUGAGAGGGUGAUCGGCCACACCGGGACUGAGACACGGCCCAGACUCCUACGGGAAGCAGCAGGAGGGAAUCUUCGGCAAUGGACGGAAGUCUGACCGAGCAACGCCGCGUGAGGGAAGAAGGUUUUCGGAUCGUAAAGCUCUGUUGUAAGAGAAGAACGAGUGUGAGAGUGGAAAGUUCACACUGUGACGGUACCUUACCAGAAAGGGACGGCUAACUACGUG
rnacentral:rRNA from 1 species